UACGUAGGGGGCAAGCGUUGUCCGGAUUUAUUGGGCGUAAAGAGCGUGUAGGCGGCCUGAAAGGUCAGCUGUGAAAACUCGAGGCUCAACCUCGAGACGUCGGUUGAAACCAUCUGGCUAGAGUCCGGAAGAGGAGUGUGGGAAUUCCCGGUGUAGCGGUGAAAUGACGCAGAUAUCGGGAAGAACACCCGUGGCGAAGGCGGCUCUCUGGGACGGUACUGACGCUGAGACGGCGAAAGCGUGGGGAGCGAACAGG
rnacentral:rRNA from 1 species